rnacentral:tRNA from 2 species
AGUGCGUUGGCAGAAUAGUGCAAUUGAUUUAGGAUCAAUUUAUGGAGUAAACCACACACUA